rnacentral:misc_RNA from 1 species
UUAAUGAAUUACAGGAAAAAUCAUUUCCUCCUAUGAAUAAAGUUAAAUCAUAAUACUAAAUUUGAUACAUAGAUUAUAAAAGGAAUUUCUAAAUUAUAGGGAAGGAAAAAUAAAAUUCAAGUUCGGGGCAAAAUUACGCUUUCGAUCAAAGUCAUCAUGAGUUCUUCUGUAAAAGGACUAAAAAACUUGACCAUAAAAUCUUCACUCCGGGUAAUAAGAUAGGACAAAACGGUAUUUUCACCUUGUUUCUUAGGUAGAUCAUCAGUAACUUGCCUUCUGCAAAUUGGGCACGUCCAAUUGCGCUCUAGCCACGUGUCCACACACUCGACGUGAAAAACAUGGCCGCAUUUCGGUAGUUUCCGGCAAUCCUCACCGCCGACAACAUCGUUCAGGCAAACGACGCAGCAAUUCUCUUCGCUGUAGUUUUCUUCCACCGUGAACGGCGGCGGUAGGCGAUUGUCGGGGUUGAACCACCGUAAUUUGAUCCCGCAAAUUAUGAAAACGGUGACGGCGGUGAUGGUUGUGAUGGUCGUUAUUAAUAGCUGAAAAUUAAAAUCCAUUGGAUUCGGAUCAGGAAUUUCCCCAAUUAGUAUAUUUGUAAGAAGAAAGAAGAAAAAGGGAAGGUAAAGUGGAUAAAUACAAAUGAA